UACGAAGGGGGCUAGCGUUGUUCGGAUUUACUGGGCGUAAAGCGCACGUAGGCGGAUUUUUAAGUCAGGGGUGAAAUCCCGGGGCUCAACCCCGGAACUGCCUUUGAUACUGGAAGUCUUGAGUAUGGUAGAGGUGAGUGGAAUUCCGAGUGUAGAGGUGAAAUUCGUAGAUAUUCGGAGGAACACCAGUGGCGAAGGCGGCUCACUGGACCAUUACUGACGCUGAGGUGCGAAAGCGUGGGGGAGCAAACAGG
rnacentral:rRNA from 1 species